AAGCUUGGAUUCCUUUUGUCGAUCUUAACCUUAUUUUUCUGUUCAAACAAAAAGAAAACAAAAAGAAUAUGAGCUACACUAGCCCAGUAAGUAAAACUUGCACUUCCUUAUCGGAUCAAGCAUAAAUUUUUCAUGAUAAUGCAAUAUUUAGAAAAUAAUAGAUAAUACAAAAUAAAGCAUUUCAUAGAGCAUAUAACAAAACAAGUUAUAAACUCAUCAUACAUGCAUAAAUCAUGUAUAUUUCACAAUCAUGAAUCGUAAAUCAUUUUCAUCUUGUAUUCAUGUCAUGUUUCAAAACAUUGCUCACAGAUAUUCGUGCUAAGGUCACUAUUAUACCCGUGACAGGGCCAUGUUUCUUAAUCGACAGAGUUUUUAAUUCAUGUGCCAACUUUAUACCCGCUGGCAGGGUCAUGUUUCGUGUGGAUGCUAGCUCCGGAUGUCGACCUUCCCGAAGGGAUUCAUU
rnacentral:lncRNA from 1 species